rnacentral:rRNA from 1 species
GUCGAGAAUAUUCCACAAUGGACGAAAGUCUGAUGGAGCGAUGCCGCGUGCAGGAUGAAGGUAUUCGUAUUGUAAACUGCUUUUGUACGGGAAGAAUUUCGAUGACGGUACCGUGCGAAUAAGAGGUUACUAACUCUGUGCCAGCAGUAGCGGUAAUACAGAGACCUCAAGCGUUAUCCGGAUUUAUUGGGCGUAAAGGGCGGGUAGGUGGUUAUAUUAGUCAGAUGUCAAAUCUUCGAGCUCAACUCGAAAACUGCAUUUGAAACGGUAUAACUAGAGGGUGUGAGAGACCACUGGAACUCAUGGUGUAGCAGUGAAAUGCGUUGAUAUCAUGAGGAACACCAAAGGCGAAGGCAUGUGGUUGGCACACUCCUGACACUGAGCCGCGAAAGCGUGGGUAGCGAAUGGGAUUAGAAACCCUAGUAGUCC